rnacentral:rRNA from 1 species
UGAGCAAUGUGCCCUUGACUCUGGGAUAAGCGCUGGAAACGGCGCCUAAUACCGGAUACGACGACCGGAGGCAUCUCCUGGUCGUGGAAAGAACUUCGGUCAAGGAUCAGCUCACGGCCUAUCAGUUAGUUGGUGAGGUAAUGGCUCACCAAGACGACGACGGGUAGCCGGCCUGAGAGGGUGACCGGCCACACUGGGACUGAGACACGGCCCAGACUCCUACGGGAGGNAG